UGGGGAAUAUUGGACAAUGGGCGAAAGCCUGAUCCAGCCAUGCCGCGUGUGUGAAGAAGGUCUUCGGAUUGUAAAGCACUUUAAGUUGGGAGGAAGGGCAGUAAGCGAAUACCUUGCUGUCUUGACGUUACCGACAGAAUAAGCACCGGCUAACUCUGUGCCAGCAGCCGCGGUAAUACAGAGGGUGCAAGCGUUAAUCGGAAUUACUGGGCGUAAAGCGCGCGUAGGUGGUUCGUUAAGUUGAAUGUGAAAGCCCCGGGCUCAAACUAGGAACUGCAUCCAAAGCUGGCGAGCUAGAGUAGGGCAGAGGGUGGUGGAAUUUCCUGUGUAGCGGUGAAAUGCGUAGAUAUAGGAAGGAACACCAGUGGCGAAGGCGACGACCUGGGGUCAUGCUGACACUGCGGUGCGAAAGCGUGGGGAGCAAACAGG
rnacentral:rRNA from 1 species